rfam:Canis lupus familiaris chromosome 20, whole genome shotgun sequence.
AUCCUUUUGCGGAUCAUGAGCGUGAUGAGUAUUCAUGCUGUUGUGUGAGAUUCGUCUCUUCCAAACCUUGCUAUGUCCUUUGCACAUUACCUAUCUGAUG